rnacentral:rRNA from 1 species
GACGAACGCUGGCGGCGUGCUUAACACAUGCAAGUCGAACGAAGCUUGAUUACGGAUUCUUCGGAUGAAGUAUGAUAUGACUGAGUGGCGGACGGGUGAGUAACGCGUGAGUAACCUGCCCUUCAGAGGGGGAUAGCGUUUGGAAACGAACGGUAAUACCGCAUAAUGUAUUUUGACCGCAUGAUCGAAAUACCAAAGAUUUAUCGCUGAAGGAUGGACUCGCGUCUGAUUAGGUAGUUGGGGGGGUAACGGCCUACCAAGCCGACGAUCAGUAGCCGGACUGAGAGGUUGAUCGGCCACAUUGGGACUGAGACACGGCCCAGACUCCUACGGGAGGCAGCAGUGGGGAAUAUUGCACAAUGGGCGCAAGCCUGAUGCAGCAACGCCGCGUGAAGGAAGACGGUUUUCGGAUUGUAAACUUCUGUUCUUAGUGAAGAAUAAUGACGGUAGCUAAGGAGCAAGCCACGGCUAACUACGUG